GAGGAACAACAGACACUGGUGCCUACUUGAGGAUGGAAGGUGGAAGGAGGGAGAUGAGCAGAAAAAAUAACUGUUGGCUUAGUACCUGAGUCACAAAAUGGAACAGCUGGAACUGAGUCUUCAAAAAGCUGUUCAAGAGUUCUGAAGACCAGCUGCUUCUGGAUGAUGGAAUGUACAGUAAGACCAGAACGUAGAUGGAGCUGGUGGCCAUUAUUCUUAGUAAACUCAUGCAGGAACAGAAAACCAAAUACUGCACGUUCCCACUUACAGGGACCAGGUGGAGAUAAUUGAAUCAUGGGGGCAGUUUCCUACAUGCUGUUCUUGUGAUGGUAAGUAAAUUGUCACGAGAUCAUGAUGGUUUUAUAAGGGGCUUCCCCCUUCGCUUGGCUCUCAUUCUUCUCUCUCCUGCUGCCUGUGAAGAA
rnacentral:lncRNA from 1 species